rnacentral:rRNA from 1 species
AGCAGCCGCGGUAAUUCCAGCUCCAAUAGCGUAUAUUAAAGUUGUUGCAGUUAAAAAGCUCGUAGUUGAACUUCAGGCCUGGCUGGGCGGUCCGCCUCACGGCGUGUACUGUCUGGCUGGGUCUUACCUCUUGGUGAGCCGGCGUGGCCUUUAUUGGUUGCGUCGGGGAACCAGGACUUUUACCUUGAGAAAAUUAGAGUGUUCAAAGCAGGCCUACGCCUGAAUACAUUAGCAUGGAAUAAUAAAUAGGACGUGCGGUUCUAUUUUGUUGGUUUCUAGAGUCGCCGUAAUGAUUAAUAGGGAUAGUUGGGGGCAU